UUAGUGGAAGCGUCUGGAAAGGCGCGCGAUACAGGGUGACAGCCCCGUACACAAAAGCGCAUGUGCUGUGAGCUCGAUGAGUAGGGCGGGACACGUGGUAUCCUGUCUGAAUAUGGGGGGACCAUCCUCCAAGGCUAAAUACUCCUGACUGACCGAUAGUGAACCAGUACCGUGAGGGAAAGGCGAAAAGAACCCCGGCGAGGGGAGUGAAAAAGAACCUGAAACCGUGUACGUACAAGCAGUGGGAGCCCCACCACCAAAGCAUUCUCUGGUGUUGAAGGCCCUGCAAAGCAGCAUCGCGGUGGCGGAGCGUCGUUUGCGACGCCCAACACACAAAACAAGCGGUGAGUGCUUUGGGGUGGGGUGACUGCGUACCUUUUGUAUAAUGGGUCAGCGACUUAUAUUCUGUAGCAAGGUUAACCGAAUAGGGGAGCCGGAGGGAAACCGAGUCUUAAUUGGGCGUUAAGUUGCAGGGUAUAGACCCGAAACCCGGUGAUCUAGCCAUGGGCAGGUUGAAGGUUGGGUAACACUAACUGGAGGACCGAACCGACUAAUGUUGAAAAAUUAGCGGAUGACCUGUGGCUGGGGGUGAAAGGCCAAUCAAACCGGGAGAUAGCUGGUUCUCCCCGAAAGCUAUUUAGGUAGCGCCUCGUGAAYUCAUCUCCGGGGGUAGAGCACUGUUUCGGCYAGGGGGCCAUCCCGGCUUACCAACCCGAUGCAAACUGCGAAUACCGGAGAAUGUUAUCACGGGAGACACACGGCGGGUGCUAACGUCCGUCGUGAAGAGGGAAACAACCCAGACCGCCAGCUAAGGUCCCAAAGUCAUGGUUAAGUGGGAAACGAUGUGGGAAGGCCCAGACAGCCAGGAUGUUGGCUUAGAAGCAGCCAUCAUUUAAAGAAAGCGUA
rnacentral:rRNA from 1 species